UACGGAGGGUGCAAGCGUUAUCCGGAUUCACUGGGUUUAAAGGGUGCGUAGGUGGGUCUGUAAGUCAGUGGUGAAAUCUCCGUGCUUAACAUGGAAACUGCCAUUGAUACUAUAGAUCUUGAAUUUUCUGGAGGUUAGCGGAAUAUGUCAUGUAGCGGUGAAAUGCUUAGAUAUGACAUAGAACACCAAUUGCGAAGGCAGCUAGCUACAGGGAUAUUGACACUGAGGCACGAAAGCGUGGGGAGCAAACAGG
rnacentral:rRNA from 1 species